rnacentral:rRNA from 1 species
UACGUAGGGUGCGAGCGUUAAUCGGAAUUACUGGGCGUAAAGCGUGCGCAGGCGGUUCGUUGUGUCGGUGGUGAAAUCCCCGGGCUUAACCUGGGAAUGGCCAUGGAAACUGGCGAACUGGAGUGUGGCAGAGGGGGGUGGAAUUCCGCGUGUAGCAGUGAAAUGCGUAGAGAUGCGGAGGAACACCGAUGGCGAAGGCAGCCCCCUGGGCUAGCACUGACGCUCAGGCACGAAAGCGUGGGGAGCGAACGGG